GGAAACUUCAUGCAAUGUAAAAUGUCAUUACUUUUACGUGACUUCAUGCGUUCGGCUCUAACCGACAUAGCUCGACAUUCUCCGAACACAUCUGCAACCAUUGUAGUCUGAACUAUGUUGGUUGAAACCAACAUGGUUCAAACUAACAAAGUACUAUGUAAGUACGACGGUUUUGGGAAACAGUCGUAACUUACAUGUUGGUUAGUUGAACGAUGCAUCGUACCACGUUAGUAAAAAGCUAACCUCCGUAGUUGUAUGGGAAACGCACCCCUGUAGUGUUAACUAAUAGAUAUGUUGUCCCUGUAGCUAAUGUCCUGUAGUGUUAACUGAUACUGUAGAUAUGUCAUCCCUGUAGUUGAUGCUCUGUUUUGUUUAAACUGACACCUAUUAUUCCUGUAGCUAAAGUCCUGUAUGUUCAAUUUGACAGAUAUGUCAUCCUUUUAGCUGAUAAUGUGUGGAGUCUGUGACAUUAGCGCCCUCUACAGUAAACUGACGGUGGUAUUACUUGUGACUUGAUGUGCUGUUUUUGUUUUUUGUCUGAUUUCCCAGCCGAGGCUCGAUCAUCCAUGAGUCGGAUUUAACAUUUACAGCCAACGGGACCCUUCCCAGCAGUACGGCCAUCUACAACACUAUGCUCCGUGCGGCCCAGAGUGGAAACCUCACUUUCACCAUCACCACACUCAACGGCACAGCUGUGUCCUCGGCAGUAGUCAGCAGUGUGGCCAGCGUCUUCACUGCCUGGAGCCUGGUGGUCAUCUCUCUAUUGGUGUCACUACAGUGGUUGGCUCAGUAACCUGCCAAUCAUUGAAGUGUCCAAUGGCAUGUGAGAAAUAACUCACAGGGGACCAGAUCAGAACUUACCCUCAAAAAGACUUCCCCUUAAAAUCACCAAACAAGGGCCCACACGGAAGCAUGUUACCAUAGAAAUUACAAACAAGGGCCCAUAUGGAAGCUGUUUUCCAUAGAAACUCCAAAACAAGAGCCCUAAUGACCACUGAUCUCAGUCUGAUCUAAGUCAGGUCAGGUGUGAAUGUAGCAAUGAUCUUUAUGACAGAUAUUUGGCAUGAAGUACAUCUGUUUGCUUGUUUUCUUAUUCCAUUAAUUAAUAUCUUCUUAAUGUAACUAUAAUAACCUAAUGUAUGACCUAAUGUAACUAACUAUUAAACACAAAGGCAAAUGACAA